AAAUUGAAGAGUUUGAUCAUGGCUCAGAUUGAACGCUGGCGGCAGGCCUAACACAUGCAAGUCGAACGGUAACAGGAAACAGCUUGCUGUUUCGCUGACGAGUGGCGGACGGGUGAGUAAUGUCUGGGAAACUGCCUGAUGGAGGGGGAUAACUACUGGAAACGGUAGCUAAUACCGCAUAACGUCGCAAGACCAAAGAGGGGGACCUUCGGGCCUCUUGCCAUCGGAUGUGCCCAGAUGGGAUUAGCUAGUAGGUGGGGUAACGGCUCACCUAGGCGACGAUCCCUAGCUGGUCUGAGAGGAUGACCAGCCACACUGGAACUGAGACACGGUCCAGACUCCUACGGGAGGCAGCAGUGGGGAAUAUUGCACAAUGGGCGCAAGCCUGAUGCAGCCAUGCCGCGUGUAUGAAGAAGGCCUUCGGGUUGUAAAGUACUUUCAGCGGGGAGGAAGGGAGUAAAGUUAAUACCUUUGCUCAUUGACGUUACCCGCAGAAGAAGCACCGGCUAACUCCGUGCCAGCAGCCGCGGUAAUACGGAGGGUGCAAGCGUUAAUCGGAAUUACUGGGCGUAAAGCGCACGCAGGCGGUUUGUUAAGACAGAUGUGCAGUACCCGGGCUCAACCUGGGCAAUGCAUAUGCUCCUGGCACGCUUGAGUACAGUAGAGGGGGGUAGAAUUCCAGGUGUAGCGGUGCAAUGCGUAGAGAUCUGGAGGAAUACCGGUGGCGAAGGAGGCCCCCUGGAAGAAGACUGACGCUCAGGUGCGAAAGCGUGGGGAGCACACAGGAUUAGAUACCCUGGUAGUCCACGCCGUAAACGAUGUCGACUUGGAGGUUGUGCCCUUGAGGCGUGGCUUCCGGAGCUAACGCGUUAAGUCGACCGCCUGGGGAGUACGGCCGCAAGGUUAAAACUCAAAUGAAUUGACGGGGGCCCGCACAAGCGGUGGAGCAUGUGGUUUAAUUCGAUGCAACGCGAAGAACCUUACCUGGUCUUGACAUCCACAGAACUUUCCAGAGAUGGAUUGGUGCCUUCGGGAACUGUGAGACAGGUGCUGCAUGGCUGUCGUCAGCUCGUGUUGUGAAAUGUUGGGUUAAGUCCCGCAACGAGCGCAACCCUUAUCCUUUGUUGCCAGCGGUCCGGCCGGGAACUCAAAGGAGACUGCCAGUGAUAAACUGGAGGAAGGUGGGGAUGACGUCAAGUCAUCAUGGCCCUUACGACCAGGGCUACACACGUGCUACAAUGGCGCAUACAAAGAGAAGCGACCUCGCGAGAGCAAGCGGACCUCAUAAAGUGCGUCGUAGUCCGGAUUGGAGUCUGCAACUCGACUCCAUGAAGUCGGAAUCGCUAGUAAUCGUGGAUCAGAAUGCCACGGUGAAUACGUUCCCGGGCCUUGUACACACCGCCCGUCACACCAUGGGAGUGGGUUGCAAAAGAAGUAGGUAGCUUAACCUUCGGGAGGGCGCUUACCACUUUGUGAUUCAUGACUGGGGUGAAGUCGUAACAAGGUAACCGUAGGGGAACCUGCGGUUGGAUCACCUCCUUACCUUAAAGAAGC
rnacentral:rRNA from 1 species